rfam:Fusarium graminearum chromosome 3, complete genome
CUUCCUUAAGCAAACACGGAUCUGUGCUUUGCGAUCCUCUGCCCUUUCGGGGGUCAGGGUCGAUUGCUCUGCAGCUCGAUAACUUAUAAGGAGCCAUCAACUUGUUAUGGUGUCAAUUUUCCUAUCGACAGGUCCAAGAGUAACAGUUGCCUUAGCCGCUUUAUUCGUUGCUCCUCGGAGCAGCUUGAGUACUGGGGCUUUUGCAACGAGACGCUAUAUUCCACCCCCCUUUUCCGAGACCGUUGGUUAGUGAGGUUGGGGAAAACCAUGGCCUACCUACAUAU